UACGGGAGGCAGCCCUNGGGAAUAUUGGGCAAUGGGCGAAAGCCUGACCCAGCAACGCCGCGUGAAGGAAGAAGGUUUUCGGAUUGUAAACUUCUGUCCUAUGUGAAGAGAUAGAGACGGUAGCAUAGGAGGAAGCCCCGGCUAACUACGUGCCAGCAGCCGCGGUAAU
rnacentral:rRNA from 1 species